UCAAGCCUCAGCCUCCAGGACACUUCAUCAUACCAGCUGCCUCAGGCAAAUUAAGCACAACAAAUGCUGAUCUGUUCAGGGCUCCUCCCUGUUUAUUGCAAGACUGUGGUUCUCAAACUUGACCUUUUGGGACACUUACAAUUACCCUUGACUUCUGAUUCUCUCCAUGAUGAUCUAAUAAUAGCUGAGUAUGGAUAUUCUUUGUCAAGUGAGGUCUCUCCCUCCACAUUUGCUUAUGGAAUCAAGUGACAGUCACCCCAUGUUCACUCUGUGCAGAUAGCAGGUGAUGCCUCCAGUAGAACAGACAGGAAAUAGACUAGCAGAGAGAAACUUGCAAGCCAGAGGGCAGCAGAGGCAGCACAGGGCAGAGCUGGACAGUGAGGAAACUGAACAUCAGCUGCUGGAGCAGCUGCCGUGAGGGAGCUGGUGGGGUUCAUCUCAAGAUGCUAUGCUGCUGGGGCCGACCAUCAGUGGGAGGUCCGAUGCUCACCCGGACAUAACAUGUCCUGUGCACGAGCCGCACUGGAGCUGAUGUCCUUUGUUUUAACAAAAGACCAAUAUUUCAGCCAGAAAAACCAGAGCAUGACAUUCAAAGACACCAAUCAGCAACUGGGGGAAUUUGAGAAGAUGAACUAAACUCCUGUAACCUCAGUUUUUCUGACUGUGCACCUCACAUAAAAUGUGAUAUGGCAAGUGACAGCGGUAUUUGUCAUGCUUCUAUUAAAGGCUCAGGUUUGGGGGUAUAAUUUACAUAUCCUAAUCAAUGAAUUAAAUACCAUAAUUGUCUUAGAGCUUAAUAAGCUGUCAAAAGUGUGACAAAGAAGUUAUGAGUCUUUAUUCUAGCCCGUUUAUCUGAUGCACAAUUAUACUGAAUCUCUGGAAGUCAUAAGCAAAGGACCUGUAGUAAGAGACACCUGAUCACUUUCCUUCUUCUUUUGACACGGGCUUUGUGCCUGCAGACUCUUUUAUGGCCAUGGUUCUAAAUGAUGUCAAAUUAUGAACUGUCAGAGCUCAUAUGUUUUUCUGAUAAAUGUUGAACUUUAACUACCUUUAUUACACGAACAUAAUCAAAAGUAAUUGUGCAUCUGUUUACUAUGGUGAGGGGUAACUGUAGAGCCACAGCUCCAUCACGUCAUGUCUGCAUGCUGAGCUCUCCAACACAGAUCAGGCUUUACACACACAUGGAAUAAGUGAAUGCUGAAGGAAUGAAAUCAACCGUACUCUUGUUAUGCUUCACCAUCAAUUGGGCUCUCAUCUGAAAAUCACAGACUCCAGAGAUCUGCUGGGCUAAACCUUCUGUUUCGUUUUGAGGAGGAUGAAAUCCGAUGGAUGGGGUCAUCAACCAAGGCCAUGGUAUGACCAAAUGUCUAGAAACCAUGGCUGGGGGCCCUGGUGCCAUCACAUGAGCCAGUGUCUAGAAACCAUGUCUGGAGGCCCUGGUACAGCACUCUGCCCCCACCGACUGCAUCCUUCUGUGAGUCCUAGGAUCUUGGAAAAUGUAACUGAGGUAAAAUAAGGAGACAAAGGAACCUGAUUCUAAAACAACCAGAAAUAGUGAAAUUGUGUCCUGAUCACCUCUCCUGGGUGCAGUAAACACUCCCUGCUCUUACAGCUCGAAUGCCCAGCCAGCCUUAGAUCUCCUCAGGCUGCCGGGCCUGGGACUGAGGUGGGGUUUUUCCCAAAUGUUCCAUCCUACUCAGGUGCUCCAUGCCCUGGAUGAGGAACGAGGGUGUUUGGACCCUGACAGAAUGUCGGGACCCCAGCGCAUCCUUCCCUGGAAGUGACACAAAGUGUCCCCUUAAGUCAGCACAGAGAAGACUUUUGUAAAAAAAAAAAAAAAAGAAAUGAACCCAUUGCGUAUGGAAUUAGUGGGUUCUUGGUCUCGCUGACUUCAAGAAUGAAGCUGCGGACCCUCGCGGGUUUGUUACAGUUCUUAAAGAAUGGUGUGUCCGUAAUUUGUUCCUUCCUCCCGGUAGGUUCGUAGUCUUGCUCACUUCAGGAGUGAAGCUGCAGACCUUCCCGUGAGUGGUACAGUUCCUAAAGGUGGCACAUCCAGAGUUGUUGCUUCCUCCUGUGUGGAAUUGUCUGGAAUUGUUCCUUCCAGCUGAUGGGUUCGUAGUAAGGGUUCGUAGUCUGGCUGGCUUCAGGAGUGAAGCUGCAGACCUUAGCGGUGAGUGUUACAGCUCUUAAAGAUGGCGCAAAUUAGCCAGGCAUUGUGGUGGGCGCCUGUAGUCCCAGCUACCGGAAAGACUGAAAUAGGAGAACGGCGUGAACCUGGGAGGCGGAGCUUGCAGUUAGCCGAGACCACGCCACUGCACUCCAGCCUAAGAGACAGAACAAGAAUCUGUCUCAAAAAAAAAAAAAAAAAAAAAAAGGUGGCACAGUCCCAAACAAUAAGCAGCAGCCAGAUUCACUGCAAAGAGCUAAACAACAACGUUUCCACAGAGCAGAGAGAGAACCCGAGCAAGCUGCAGCGGCCUGCUCUGGUGGCCUGCUUUUAGUCCCUUAUUUGGCCCCACCCACAUCCUGCUGAUUGGUCCGCUUUACAGGCAGCUGAUUGGUCCAUUUUACAGAGAGCUGAUUGGUCCGUUUUGACAGAGAGCUGAUUGGUGCAUUUACAAACCUUUAGCUAGACACAGAGUGCUGAUUGGUGCGUUUACAAUCCUUUAGUUAGACACAAAAGUUCUCCAAGUCCCCAACCGUCCCAGAAGCCCAGCCGGCAUCAUCUCUCACUGGCUCUCGCUGCGGAACUUGGCGGGCCGGGUAAUCCGGCAGCCCAGAGGGAGCUAGUUCCAGACAAUCAAGAGGAAAAGAGGGGAAGAGAGAAAGAGACGGAGAUCGGCUAUGGUGGCCAACAAUCCCGCGAAGAGGGAACGGUGGUCCACGCAGGGAUUCAGUCUCCGAUCAAGCCCAGCAGGCGCCGGCCGGCCACGCCGAGUGCGGGGCUUGCAGAGCCGGAGCUCACCUGGAACCCAAGCGCUGGGCCGCGAGCGCCGCGCGCAGCGCCGGCUCCAGCCAGUGCCUUUCUCUUCACACCUCCCCGCCAGCAGAGGGAGCAGGCUCCGGCCUCCGCCAGCCCCAGAGAGAGGCCCUCAUAGCGCAGCGGCGGGCUGAAGAGCUCCUUGAGCGCGGCCAGAGCGGACGCCGAGGCCGAGGACGCGCCCAGAGCCAGCAAGGGAUGCUACCACGCUGUCACCUCUCACCGUGAGCCACAACUGCUGGUCCUGCGUUCACGGCUUUCCUUUGUCUUUCAGGUGGAGACGCGCUGACCUGCCCCAAUACCUAUUGUUGUUUGUUAAAUUACUCCAAGAUACUUAUAGUUAACGGCAAACACCCAUUUAUAACCACAAAUCAUGUCAGAUGUUCAGGACCAGCACAAUCAAUCAAGUAAACAGCACCCUCCUUGAGUAUGUGGCAGGUGUGUGAGGAUUUCAUGAACCUGUCCUGCAUUUCCAAAUCCAUCCUGAGGCCUCUCCCUGGACACAGGUCUGUGGAUCAGCCUGUACUCGGGCAGUUUUACCUUCUAUGUCUGUUUGUCACGGUCCUCUUGUCCUAGUGCUCAUCACUGCACGUUCCCAGCUCCAGCAAGUGGCCACUCUUUUCCCUCCACAACCAAAGGCCCGACGGCCCAGCCCCCCGGUGGCAGGUGGCCCUUCCAUGGCUGAGGUCACACACCCAGCAUCGCAUCCUGCCCUUCUCGGGGCCUCGGGCCCCUUCGACUCGUCUCCAGGGAUUGCACUUGCUCCUGCUGCCCACGGAGGUUUCCUUCCUGUGAUUCCACUCGGAGGGGGCGCUUUUCUUUGCUGGCUUCAACCAUCACAGAGCUGCUUUGUGUUCGCCGGCAGCUGCCACGCUUCCCUGAAAAGGCGGCUUCUGUUCUGCUGGAGAUGAGCUGAUUUGCCUGGCAGCCAACUUAAACAAGGAGGCAAGAAAACAGCAUAGACUGGGCUCCCAAAUACAUCUACAUGGAUUUAAUGGACACGGAAUGUUGAUGUUAGAUGUAAAGCAGCACUGUGACUCAACCCCUUGUGCAACUCUGAACAUGGAGGGGAGUCCUGUGAAGAUGCACUGACCCUGAAGUGUUUCAGAAAGGCUGUCUAUAGCUGUACCUAAGCCUUGAUCAUGUGAGAGAAGUCCUAGCUCUGUCUGCAGUGGUGGGCAAGGGGGACAAGAAGUCACCUUCUCCAAGACCCUUUUCAAGCACCAGGGUUGCCUGACUGUUGAAUUAGGGCCAUAGACUUUCCACACUGAGCCCAGCACUGCACUUGUGCCUCUGCUGAAAGAUGCUUUCCAUAGCAGAAAGUUCUGGGACUCAAGUCCUGCUGUCUGUAUUUUUUUGUCCCUUGAUGUGGUGUACUCCCCCUUCCCCUAGGAGUAGGAAUCCCUGAAGAACAGACUACUGUGAAUGCCACUGCUUCUCUGGGUCCAGCUUCCCCAUGGGGUGAAUGCAACACUCCAGGCUGGUGCUGGGGAAUGCUUGCAAGUGAUCCAGUGAUGUGACCUGUCCUCAAGUCUCCCAGCAGUGGGAACAAGCACCAGCUCUUAUGGGGUGACAGGGGAGUAACAUAGACUCUGUAAGAUUCCUUGGUUAUAAACAGCCUUAUUGUGUUGGCUUUCUCAAAUGCCAGGAAGUCUCAAAUGCCAGUAGUAAUGAACUGGUCACAUGGACAGACAUAGGACCUCCUGGUUAGCCAGGAUGAUGCAGGCAGUGGUGAUAGUUGAGGACACGCAUAAGUUUUCUUCUUCCUAGGCACUUUGUUAUCCAGGUCUCUCCCACAACACGUGGAAAUUCAAGAUGAGAUUUGGAUGAGGAUACAGCCAAACCAUAUCACUCACCUAGCUCCCAUACACUUGGCAAAGCAGGUCUCACAAUCUCAAUGUUUCUCUAGCAGCAGCUAGCUAUGUUCCAGGCAGUUUGCACUCAGAACUCAAAACUUCCCCAGGCCAUAUGCCUUCCCCUGGAAGACCGAAUCCUUGGCUUUUAGGCCAUGCCUUUUCUGCUCAGCCAGCCAAGCAGGGACAUUCAGCUCCAGUGCCCAUGUUUACAGCCCACUUGCCACUUCCCCUUUGGUUCUGGAUUAUAUCUAGAAUCUCAAUUGGGAGCUUCUUUUAACAUGUGACCACCACCUGAGUUACCUGACAGACUUCCAAAACAUCCCCUGUGAGGUUGGAUCAGGAAUGGCUUCCCUCCACAUCCACUGGAGCCUGGGAGUGCAUACAAAGAAUAUCCCAGUGCCGCUCCUUCUUACAUGCUCCCACCACUCUCUAAAUCAGCUCCAGUGCUGGGUAGGGUUAAGGACUUCCCCCAUGGCCUGGAUUGCCAGGUUCCCUGGUGGGAGUGUAUAAAGGCAGUUUAUCUCCCUCACAAACUCUGGGUACUUACAGUUUUCCAAAUGGCUCACGGUUGGAGUCUGUUUUCUUUCAGUUUUUGUGUUAAGUUCCUUAUUUGUGUUGCUUCUGCCUUCUACUUCCCAGGCUGGGAGCAGCUAUGUGUCUUGCAGAACAGUUCUCUGCUAGCUCUGAUUCGCUCCAAACCUCAUCUGCUAGUGUUCUUUCUGGCCUGAUUCAUCUCUGUUUAAUAUAUAAUGAAGUAGAUUUAAGUGUUAUCCUUAGGAUGUGGUUCUCCCUUGAGGAAGGAGAAUAGGGUCUGGAGGCAGGGAACAUAAGGCCGAUUCACGCUGAUUUCCUAGAACUAAAUCAAAUGAAAACACUUCAGCAAUGACAGGAAAUAUCCUCUCCAUUUUCUUAGGGCAUAUGCCAAGUAAACGACUUUGUAACUUUACUUCAUCCUCUUCCUUCACAUAGGGUGUACACCAAGUAACCAACAGAAACCUCUAGAGGGUAUUUAAACCCCAGAAAAUUAUGUAACCAGGUUCUUGAGCCCCUGUGCUUAGAACUGCUCACACCUGAGGAGUAUACUUUCAUUUUCAAUAAAUCUCUGCUUUUGUUGCUUCAUUGUUUCCUUGCUUUGUUGGUGUAUUUUGUUCAAUUCUUUGUUCAAGAUGCCAAAAACCUAGACACCUUCCACUGGAAACACCCUCACUCCCAUUCUAAUACUCUUUCUUCAGUGGGUAAUAAAAGUUGGCUUCAGCAUGCAUGUGCUUGAGGGUAUAUACGUAUAUAUGCUUUUCCAGAUGGCAGAAAAGGCUGGGCUUUAAUUAAUUAAUUAAAAACUUCACCAAAUAUCCACUGAAGACUUGUUAUGCCACAGGACUAAUGCUUGGUGCCAGGGAGACGGAGAUUAAGGACUCAGUUCCUAUGCACCAGCAGUUUUGCUGCUCGGAGGGGCAGACAGGCAAGACAAUGAAGGCACAGAGGGGAGAGCAGAGCCUCACACAGGAGCACCCCCAACCUGCUCCACUGAGAGUCAGAAAACAUGACUUGGAAGAAGUGAAACCCCUACUCCAUCUUGGAAAAUAAAUAGGAAUGAAUGAGGCUUGAUUUGGCUGGGGAGGGAGGAAAAAAGCCAUUGGCUAGUGUGUGCCCAGACACCAAAGGAUGCCUUGGUAGUGGUCUGGGAAGCAAAGGCUAACUGUACCCUGAAAAUGGUGGGUGUAAAACCCUCCAAGAUAUGUAUACCCGGGAUAAGAGCUAGAUUUCCAUUCAGUCCCAAGCUUAUUUUAGUAAUCAGAAUGCAGGAAGGCCACACCUACACAUAUUAAUUCCUUUCCCUCAGCCGUCUGCCUCUAGGUACACAUGAAUAAACUUUUAUUUCCUUUGAAGCAAAAGGAUUUCUCUGACUUUUAAAGGGCAGAGCUUUCUGGGCCCUGGAGGGAAUUCUGAUGCAUCUCCCAAUCUUCUUUGUGUAGAUACAUGCCCAUUUUAUUUAGAACUCUCUUGGUAAAUGGCCAGAAUGAGAACUAGAACAUCCAAUUCCAACUAUUUCCUUGGUGUAAUUGCUUUUAUGUGUGUCCUGGUGUUUGAGAGAUUUUUCUAAAAGCCAUUCUUAACAGUUGGAGAACCUGUUUUUGCCCAUUGGGCAAAAACAGGAAUGUCUGUUUUGUGCCAUUUAUAGGCUUUUGACAAUUUAGUGUGCUGUGGAGGGUAACCACUUUGAGGAUUAAUAAUUUAGAUGGCCUUUUUUUUUGUAGGCUGAGGAUUAGAAGAUGUUUGUAGACAACUUAGUGUCUCUUCACACUUGGAACAGCUGAUAACGAGUAAUUCUUCCUGCUUUACUUGGGAGGUAGAAAACUAGAAAUUUUUUAAAAAAUGAGUUAUAGGAGAGAAAAAUAAGAAAGUUAGCCCAUCAGAAUGUACAUGCUGUAAACCUGGUCUAUUCUGACUUUCCUUGGUGGUUUUCAAAUAAAUUCCUCACUUGGAUUCUGGAAGGAGAUUCUAUAGAGUGAGGUUGCAGUGCAGCAGGGAGCCCAUUGACCCAGCCAUAGAC